rnacentral:rRNA from 1 species
AUACGGAGGAUGCGAGCGUUAUCCGGAUUUAUUAGGUUUAAAGGGAGCGUAGGUGGGAUAUUAAGUCAGCUGUGAAAGUUUGGGGCUCAACCUUAAAAUUGCAGUUGAUACUGGUUUCCUUGAGUACGGUACAGGUGGGCGGAAUUCGUGGUGUAGCGGUGAAAUGCUUAGAUAUCACGAAGAACUCCGAUCGCGAAGGCAGCUCACCGGGCCGGAACUGACACUGAUGCUCGAAAGUGCGGGUAUCAAACAGGAUUAGAUACCCUGGUAGUCCGCACAGUAAACGAUGAAUACUCGCUGUUUGCGAUACACGGUAAGCGGCCAAGCGAAAGCGUUAAGUAUUCCACCUGGGGAGUACGCCGGCAACGGUGAAACUUAAAGGAAUUGACGGGG